rnacentral:rRNA from 1 species
UACAGAAGUGGCAAGCGUUGUUCGGAAUUACUGGGCGUAAAGGGCGCGUAGGCGGCCUACUAAGUCAGACGUGAAAUCCCCCGGCUUAACCUGGGAACUGCGUCUGAUACUGGAAGGCUUGAGGAUGGGAGAGGGAUGUAGAAUUCCAGGUGUAGCGGUGAAAUGCGUAGAUAUCUGGAGGAAUACCGGUGGCGAAGGCGGCAUCCUGGACCAUUACUGACGCUGAGGCGCGAAAGCUAGGGGAGCAAACGGG